rnacentral:lncRNA from 1 species
GGAGAACUAUUAUUCAAGCUUUGCCGCUGCUCCAUGCCUUCACUGUAAAAUUCAUGCUUCCUUCUCCAAUACAUUAUUUGUGCUCUAAAGAAAGAUUGCCCUGACAGUAGCGCCUUAAGCGAUUAACGCUUAGUGGGUUACUGUUCCAAUAACAGUAACUUGAUUCUAAAAUCCCCAUUCUAAAACGAAAGCGUUUCAGUCCAAAACAAUCUCUUUUUCAGUAAAUAAAUCCCUAUCCUCUUUCUUUCAUAAACAUCUCCUCUUUACUACUGCUCCCUCAAAUGUCAUUCAUCGGUCAUCCAUCACUUGCUUUCAUCUUCCACUGUAGUGGAGCAACGUAACAACAUUGCCUCCAAUGCUCUUCUGCCUGUACACACUGAGUUCAUCUUUUAGAUCACCCACAUCAUCUUUCAGGUGAGUAAUAUUUUCUUUUUUUUUUCUUUAUGAUUUUGUUUUUUAUUUUCCUUUUUUUCAUUCUUCAUUUUCCUUUUCUUUUUUUUCGAAGAGCAAAGCAAAGCUUUUGAAUCCUUUCGAAAUACAAAUAUUUUCCCUAUAUAUCUUUCCUUUCUUUUUUCACACUCUCUGUCUAUCGAUUCUCCCCUUUACAACCUCUGAAUAUGGUCGGUUCAAUUAAUAUCUCUUUCUUUUGUUCUUUAGAACUCAGCAAUUUUUGGGUAUGAAGUUUCUAUAAUUCAUUUAUUUAAUGGAUAUGUCUUUGUAAUUGCUGAAUUUUUUUUAUUGACAUUUUAUCUCAUUGUAGUUAAUAUAUAUUUAUUUUUCAAGAUUUUUUGCAAGAACUUGAAAUUAUUAUCCUUUGUUGAACUUUUUCUGAAAAUACUUUAUAUGGUGAAAAAUACAAGGAGUUAGAAGAGAGUUGGUGCUUAGAAAAAGACAUGAGACAAAAAGAAAUUUAAUGAAAAAAUGAAGUAUGAGAGAGAAAGUUUCUUUCUCUUUAAGUAGUUGCUUGAUAUGAUUCCGAUGAAUGUAAUGAAAAGUGCCGGUGAAGAAAUUGUCGACGAUGAUGAUGACAUUGUUAUCUCUUUCAAUCAGACGAUCUACCAGAUGUAAACCAUCAAACCUAGUUCCACGGAUUCUUCCCGUUGGUCGUGUGAGGCUCAUAUAAUUGUAUCUUGCCGGUAAUAAAUCGUGAAUUGACAGAGAAGUGAGCAAUUUUUUUUUUUUUUUUUUUGGUAACAAGAGAAGUGAGCGAGUGUGAUGAUAUGGCAUACAUGUAAGAUGUUGUUAUGUCACCUAACUUGCUCACUUCGUGCGUGUAUUUCAC